ensembl:lncRNA
CGAAAAUGUUCUCAUUAGUGGUCUACGUACUGCAUGAAAGUAUCAGCAAUGCUGAAACCUUAAGUUGUGUUCCAAAUACUGUCUCAUAUGCUAAAAAAUUAACGUUUUCUUCUGAUUUAUUUGAUUUUACUUUUGUGCACGUGGUAGACAAGUUUCAUGGUUUGUUUUGUGACUAGAGUUCAUUGCAUGACUCACAUCAUCAUUAUUAUGAGGCAGAAGAUGUUCACUCCCAUAAGAGGCUUGUACGACAAGUUACUGAGGAGCGGAACAUACAAUUCCACCCUACUGCAAAGACAAAAAAGCAUAUGGACUUAUGUGGACACCCUAUAGUAUUCACAACCCAAUGCAAUUAAAGCUAUUAAUUGUGUUACACCCGUAGCUAAUAAUGCACAGAACAAUUCGUUUAUCCUAUUUGAUACGAAAUGUACUGUUCUGUCAUUUACAGUAUAAUCUCUGUUAGCAGACUAUAUAUAAAUGUGUUUAGUUUGGGAAAAAUCUGAGCAUGAAGUUAUUAUAAAUGUCUAUACAAAUACCCUAAUGAAAUAUAUUUUGGGCCCAAAUAUACAAGGCAUAUUAAACCCCUGCAUAUGAAUAUGAUUGGCAUCCUAUACAGCAAAAAUAGUACCUUUCUUUAAAUGACUUCAUUUUGACUGAAACAUAUAUGCAACUUUUGGCACAAAUAACAUACAUGACAAUCAUUUCUUAGCAUUUGGGAGUCUUUUAUGAAUGCUUACAGACCCUCUUUGUGCAGCUCUUUAAGUAUUUACCUUACUUACAUUAUCCUUAAAAGUAACUGAUGGAUGAAAAUAUAUAUGCCAUAAGAUGAAUAUAUAUGCCAUUUCCUCAUUUUCUCCUCUUUUCUCUUACAAAUUGCCCACAGCUAACUUUGCAACAUCAACAAUUUAAUAUAUAAUGAUGUUCUUCCUCUUCUUCAAACCGGUGUCCAGUGUUAGGAGUUAGGGUUGUCCUUAACUUUUCUCUCCACUUGCUUAACAUGUUGUUCCAGUCUAUACCUGUCCAGCAACUCCAGGGUGUGCCUACGUCAUAAAUUCAGACAGAGCAGAGAGUUUCUUCAGAAGUGGACUUAUCAAAGCAACAGUGCUGUUAAUCUGAAGAACAAUGGCAGAUACAAACCCAGAUAAAACCCCUCAGUGCGAUAAGAGCAAACAAUGCCAGGGUGAAGGCAAGGGUGAAGGCAAGGGAAAAGGACCAGGACAAGGGCAAGGCAAGGGCAAGGGUCAGGGUCAUGGUCACGGACACGGUCACGGACCUGGAAAGGAUGGAAAGGAUGGCAAAGGCAAACCAUAAUGACAAGGAGCUGAAUGAAGAGACGUCUGAAGUCUGUCUGAUGCUGUUUUUUUCUUGCACCAUGACUAUAAACUAAAACAUGUAUAAUUAUACCACAUAUGUUUGUUUUUAAUUAAAUGAUCAUCAAUAAAGUGUUUGGUAUCAAAGAAUGGCUUUUAGAAUCGUUGACUCCUUAAGCUUUGAAAUUCCAAAUAUAAAACGAAAUGAAGUAGCUGUGGCAAGGUGUGCAAGUUUACACAGCAAGAAGGUGUAUAUGCUGAAACAAUGUUAAAUCAGGAAAUAAGACCUACUUGGUUUAUGAAUGUUAUCUUUUGUAAAGAAUACUGGUUAAGCAAUACAUGCAAGGUGUAGAUUCAACCAUUAAACACACAUAACUAAAACAUUUUUAUAUGUUUAAGGAGCAAGAAUGGCUCAGAGAAAUUUACA